CCACUGCUGAGGAGUCCCACAAUAGGACGAAACGACUGUCAAGUGC
rnacentral:hammerhead_ribozyme from 1 species